rnacentral:lncRNA from 1 species
AAAAAUUUGAUAAAUUAGUUGUUUUGCAGGUAUGUAUUUGUUAUCUCUACAAGAGUUUAUGUCCGAAACACAAUUUGGUGGAGUAAAAUUGAAAAUUAAGAGUAGACUUUUUUUUGUUUGGUAAAUUUUGAGAUUAUGAUAUUCAUGUUUUUUGCAUAGAAUAUAGUACUUAUAGGUUGGAGUUUUUAACUAUUUUGAAGUUUGACAUGGUUGUAAGACUUGGUGAUAAUUUUAAAUAUGAAUUAAGGUUCAUUUGAUUUUGUUUCAGCCAAGAAGAUGCAGGUUACACAAGUCUCUAAUUCUCUCUUUUGUUACAUUACAUAAAUAAAUACUACCAGUGGAUGUCUUACUUAUAACUUUUUAAUUUUUUUGGGUGCAGAUUUUCUUGUGGAUGCUAUGGACUACAUACUAUCUAGAAUGUUAAGCUUAAAUUUGAUGCAAGUGUUAGUUGAACUUGAACCUACAAUUUAUUAGUGACUUCUUUCUCAGCAGGCAUAUUAAUACCAAUCUUGGUUCAGAUUGGAAUCAGGUGGCUGCAAUCAUUUUAAUUAUGGUAUUUGUGUGCUUAGAAGUAAGGAUUUGUUGAGCUGUUGUUAGAGGACAUCAUUCAAGACUAUUAAAGGAAAUCAUAUUUAGAGUGAGUGGGAUUUAAGCAUGGUUUCAUGAUAUGGGAUUUGUUUAGUAUAUGGAGUGGAACUCCAUUUGUACUAUGUUGUAUCAUUUGAUAUAGGUCGUGGGUUUUUUUUGUUAAGAUAGUUGGAUCUUGAUUUAGGUGUAGUUUUGCAUAUUGUCAAUGCAGAGCAACUGAUGAUCAUAUAUUUGUAAUUUUGGAAACUCAAUAUUCCUUGUGUUUUGUGGUUGUCUUUCUUUUUAAAAAAUAAAAUAGAUUAUUAUCUAUUUAUUUAGUGUAAGGUNN